rnacentral:rRNA from 1 species
ACGGUUGACCUCGGAUCAGGUAGGAAUACCCGCUGAACUUAAGCAUAUCAAUAAGCGGAGGAAGGU